rnacentral:ncRNA from 1 species
CGGCAACACUCUGGAGAGACCGGAGGCCCUCAGGGCAGACCCGGCGCCGAAGGGGCACGAAGCACACUGCUUCCAAACUCUCAGGCAAAAGGACAGAGGGGCAACG